rnacentral:rRNA from 1 species
AUUGAACGCUGGCGGCAGGCCUAACACAUGCAAGUCGAGCGGAUGAAGGGAGCUUGCUCCUGGAUUCAGCGGCGGACGGGUGAGUAAUGCCUAGGAAUCUGCCUGGUAGUGGGGGAUAACGUCCGGAAACGGGCGCUAAUACCCCAUUCGCCCUGAGGGAGAACGUGGGGGAUCUUCGGACCUCACGCUAUCAGAUGAGCCUAGGUCGGAUUAGCUAGUUGGUGGGGUAAAGGCCUACCAAGGCGACGAUCCGUAACUGGUCUGAGAGGAUGAUCAGUCACACUGGAACUGAGACACGGUCCAGACUCCUACGGGAGGCAGCAGUGGGGAAUAUUGGACAAUGGGCGCAAGCCUGAUCCAGCCAUGCCGCGUGUGUGAAGAAGGUCUUCGGAUUGUAAAGCACUUUAAGUUGGGAGGAAGGGCAGUAAGUUAAUACCUUGCUGUUUUGACGUUACCAACAGAAUAAGCACCGGCUAACUUCGUG